rnacentral:snoRNA from 2 species
CCCGUCUCAGGAUCGCACCUGGAGAGUUUCCAGUACUCUAUCAGUCUCGGUACAGGAGGGAGAGUCAAGCAGAGGCCUACCCUUUCCAUUCCUAGCUUGGGCAGUGGCUAGCAAAUGGAAGGCAAUCUGCUACAAGU